CAGCCGUAAACUAUGCUCGCUAGGUGUCAGGCAUGGCGCGACCGUGUCUGGUGCCGCAGGGAAGCCGUGAAGCGAGCCACCUGGGAAGUACGGCCGCAAGGCUGAAACUUAAAGGAAUUGGCGGGGGGAGCACAACAACGGGUGGAGCCUGCGGUUUAAUUGGACUCAACGCCGGACAACUCACCGGGAACGACAGCAAUAUGUAGGCCAGGCUGAAGACCUUGCCUGAAUCGCUGAGAGGAGGUGCAUGGCGUAGUCGUGU
rnacentral:rRNA from 1 species